rnacentral:tRNA from 1 species
GGGCCAUUAGUUCAAUUGGAAAGAACAGUGUCCUCCUAAGACACCAGUACAGAUUCGAGUUCUGUAUGGCCCA